CACAGGCUCUUACCUGGCAAGGGACCCUCCAAUUCUGCUCAGGUUUUUCAUAUUUUCAGGUGAAACGGACACGGAAUGAUGAGGGAGUCAUCAAUUCUACUGUCUGGAUGGGAAAUCCUCUAAUGUCGCUCUCUACGAACCCUGGACCUACUCCUAUGCCCACCCUCAUCAACACAACUUCCCAUCUACUCUCUAACAUCAAUCCCUCCUCCUCUACAUCCUGCUGGAUUUCUGUCACUGGCUCGAACCCUCAUCAUAGCCACUCAAUUCCAACCUAUUGAACCAUCUAACUAAACUCUCUCUAGAAAUUCGCAGCUCCUGGCCGGACCUCCUGCCCAUGGCCCUGGCCAAACUCCAGCUACACCAAGGAGCCCCAUUUUCUUGAGCCCUUUUGACUCUUCUUGCUCAACCACCGUCUUCUGACUGAUCCCCCUCCCCUGGGUACGUCUCUCCCAUAUCUGUCUUUAACCAGGCAAUUGCUCUGAGAACACGAGAGCAGGUUUCUGCCCAAGCCAGAGCCGACCGACCAGGACUCCCAAGUCCAGCCCUUCACACUGGUGACUCGGUCCUCCUUAAGAACCUACAACCACAAGCCUUGGAGCCUAGGUGGACGGGACUUCACACUGUAAUCCUCUCAGCCCCCACUGCGGCCAAGCUGCUUGGCGACUCCAGCUUGACGACCUGUCCUGGCACCACCUCUCCAGACUCAAGAGGACCCCGGAGCAGCAUGACUUCUAUAAAUGUUCAAGGUCCGUGAAACCUACUACCAGAACAGCAAACAAGUCACCUGGCAGCGGAACCCAGACAGAUGUAAUCAAGAUGUCAACACCUAUGGGGUUGCCACAGAAGAGACUAUCAUACCACAUUGCAGCCAGUCUCACCAAGGCCAGCCCAGGUACCUUCUUUUGGUGCAACGGCACCUUAAGGAACUGCAUGAACUCCUCUGACCCCAGGCCUUGCUUCGUGGUCACAGUAGUUCCCCAACUAACCUUGUAUGGAGAGUCGGAGCUCACUGGUUGCUCCCUCCAUCCCAUCCCUGGACCCGCUGGGCUGCCUUCCCCCCUGUCAUUUUAGGGGUGAGUAUCGCUGCCUCAGUAGGCCUCACUGGGGGGACCUCGGGAACAGUCUGGUCACUGCUCAGUACUUUAAUGACAAGCUCCAGUUAGCCGUGGAGUCUACUACCGCCUCUUUUUAGCCUCCCUACAGUGACAAGUGACAUCAGUAGCCCAAGUAGCCCUGCAGAACCAGCUCGCCUCAGACCUUCUGACUGCAGAAAAAGGAGGAACCUGCAUAUUCCUUCAGGAAGAAUGCUGUUACUACAUCGAGUCCGGAGUAGUGGAGCAAAACGUAAACGUACAGACCCUGACUAAGCUGAGUGAAGAACUACAUGCAGGACACUUCCAGAACAACUCUCCUUCCGGCUGGUUCCAAAGCCCCUUAGCCACCUGGGUCCUACCCAUGAUAGGGCCCCUGAUUCUCAUCUGUGUUCUUUUUUCUCCUAGCCCCCUGCCUCCUCAAGUUCAUCCACUCCCGAAUCUCGGAGAUGUCACGAGUGACUGUGAAUCAGCUCCUGCUCAAUCCCUACACUCGGCUCCCCUCCGACCUGCCUCUGCCAAACCCUGGCCUUUAACCGCCCCCCCUACGCCGCCCGUGGUCAGCUGGAAGUAGCUAGAAAGAGUCGUCGUCCCCUAUCACCAAAAGGCCGGGAUGUUAGGUUGGAGAGAGCCCAGGAUCGGAUACAUGCAGACAUGACAAGAUAAUGGACUUCCCCUGGAAUUUCUCACAGAUCAAGGUGCCAGACACAGAUACCAGCUU